rnacentral:rRNA from 1 species
UACGUAGGUGGCGAGCGUUGUCCGGAUUUACUGGGCGUAAAGGGCGCGUAGGCGGCCUGCUAAGUCGAACGUGAAAUCCCUGGGCUCAACCCAGGAACUGCGUCCGAUACUGGUUGGCUUGAAUCCGGGAGAGGGAUGCGGAAUUCCAGGUGUAGCGGUGAAAUGCGUAGAUAUCUGGAGGAACACCGGUGGCGAAGGCGGCAUCCUGGACCGGCAUUGACGCUGAGGCGCGGAAAAGCCAGGGGAGCAAACGGGG